rnacentral:misc_RNA from 1 species
GAUGAAGAACGCAGCGAAAUGCGAUAAUUAAUGUGAAUUGCAGAAUUUAGUGAAUCAUCGAAUCUUUGAACGCACAUUGCGCCCCUUGGUAUUCCGGGGGGCAUGCCUGUCCGAGCGUCAUUGCUGCCCUCAAGCACGGCUUGUGUGUUGGGCCCCCGUCCCCGGUUCUCCCCGGGGACGGGCCCGAAAGGCAGCGGCGGCACCGCGUCCGAUCCUCGAGCGUAUGGGGCUUUGUCACCCGCUCUGUAGGCCCGGCCGGCGCCAGCCGACACCCCAACUUUAUUUUCUAAGGUUGACCUCGGAUCAGGUAGGGAUACCCGCUGAACUUAAGCAUAUCAAUAAGCGGAGGA